UACGUAGGGUGCGAGCGUUAAUCGGAAUUACUGGGCGUAAAGCGUGCGCAGGCGGCGUCGCAAGUCAGGCGUGAAAUCCCCGAGCUUAACUUGGGAAUUGCGCUUGAAACUACGAUGCUCGAGUGUGGCAGAGGGAGGUGGAAUUCCACGUGUAGCGGUGAAAUGCGUAGAGAUGUGGAGGAACACCGAUGGCGAAGGCAGCCUCCUGGGCUAACACUGACGCUCAUGCACGAAAGCGUGGGGAGCAAAC
rnacentral:rRNA from 1 species